CUUCAAGCAGCUGGAGAAGAACUUCCGAUGAAGAUGAGGUGGUGGAUAUGGCGUUCUGGAGAAUAGCCCUCAAUUCAAGAAACUCCAUCAAUUUUAUCUCCUCUUCAAUGGCCGACGUUGCCAAGUCUUCUUCAAACAACUCCUCUAAUUAUUCUAAACAUUAUUCCGACAAGAUCACUCCUCCCCCUCGAAUCAGUAUUUUCACCGCCACCUCCUCCACGGCGCUGAUGUAUUCCAUUCGCCCAAGCACCACCUCCAUCAAGGGCUCUCCUGCGAAGAACUCUGUUUCUUGAUCGAAGCCGAUUAGAGGGGUUCCCGUGUACCAAAGCCCUCAUUUCCGUUCGCCGCCGCCCAUCAACAUCAACAUCUAGAGGGUCGCCGCUAAUGGCGGCGUCUUCUUCCGGUAAACUGAAUAUAUCGAAUUGUGGCCCAAAAAUAAUUCCCCCAUUUAUCGAUAUCAUAUUUCAAAAUCAGGAAAUGGGUUUCAAUUCCAAGGAAUAAUUUUCUAGAUUUUUUUUUCUUCUUCCCUUAAUAAUUAU
rnacentral:lncRNA from 1 species